rnacentral:rRNA from 1 species
UACGUAGGGAGCGAGCGUUGUCCGGAAUUACUGGGUGUAAAGGGAGCGUAGGCGGGAAGAUAAGUUGAAUGUUAAAUCUAUCGGCUCAACCGAUAGCCGCGUUCAAAACUGUCUUUCUUGAGUAAAGUAGAGGUUGGCGGAAUUCCUAGUGUAGCGGUGAAAUGCGUAGAUAUUAGGAGGAACACCAGUGGCGAAGGCGGCCAACUGGGCUUUUACUGACGCUGAGGCUCGAAAGCGUGGGUAGCAAACAGG